GCAAAACGUAGAGGGCAUGAGCAAGAUGAAGAUGAUACAGACGAAACGACGACUAUGCCGCCGGUUACAAAAUAUCACCCUCCUCACAAUUUUACUCAGAUUGAAGGGGAUGCCACAACUGACCUAUUUUCACUGAAUUUUCCUGGGAAAUAUCCGGAAAACACAACUUUUACUUGGUACGUUUCCGCUCCGGAGGGCUACAACAUCUUGAUUCACUUUAAAAAUAUGAGUUUCGAAGACGAAUACGACUUUUUAUACAUCGGUUCGGGUCAGGUUCAACUCUAUCCGGGUACGAUGUUUCAGACACUAACCGGAUUUGUCAAUCCGGCGGAUAUCUUCUACCCGGGCAACGAGCUUUACUUCCAUCUCAACUCGGAUCCGUACGAGGCGCAUUACGGAUUCUGGAUCCAGCUAACAACAUUUAAAG